rnacentral:rRNA from 1 species
UACAGAGGUCCCAAGCGUUGUUCGGAUUCACUGGGCGUAAAGGGUGCGUAGGUGCGUUGGGUAAGUUCGAUGUGAAAUCUCCGGGCUUAACCCGGAAAUGGCAUUGAAUACUAUUGAGCUGGAGGUUUGGAGGGGGGACUGGAAUUCUCGGUGUAGCAGUGAAAUGCGUAGAUAUCGAGAGGAACACCAGUGGCGAAGGCGAGUCCCUGGACAACACCUGACACUGAGGCACGAAAGCUAGGGGAGCAAACAGG